rnacentral:piRNA from 1 species
UGGUUGGGAACAUAAAGGAAACGAGAGUG